UCUGAUAGAUAAUACGAGCAUCGAUGGAAACCUACCCAAACAAAAAGCCCACCCACAAAGCUGAACCAUUUAAAAGAAGGAAAUGGCUGCAAAUGUCUACAUCUUCUCCCCAAUCCGGUCCAGUUCGUUCCGAUUCGACGUUCUUUUCCCGAGACCCGACUUACAACCAAUUUUCAACUCUCCCUGCUGCUCGCUUUCUGUUGCCCGUAGUAGUACUACUACUAGCUUUGGUUUGAGACUCAGUGCGACCAGACUACCGAACCGGGACCCGAAACCGCCUGCCGCCCUUAUGCUACCGGCAAACCCUGUCGCCUCCGAUAUCUUCGCUGCCGGCUUGUCCGGUUGCAUCGCGCUCUCCUUGCUCCGGUUAUGGGGGGAAACCGCCAACUUGCGGAUCUUCGACCAGAAAUUGAAUAGGAAGCUUGUGCAUAUAAGCGUGGGGCUAGUUUUCAUGCUUUGCUGGCCACUGUUCAGUCCUGGUCGUCGGGGAGCCAUCUUAGCAGCUCUUAUCCCAGGCAUCAAUAUCAUACAAAUGCUUCUCUUGGGACUUGGGAUCAUGAAAGAUGAGGCUAUUGUGAAGUCAAUGAGCAGAAACGGAGACUAUAGGGAACUUCUUAAGGGACCACUCUACUAUGCUGCAACAAUCACUUUGACUUGCAUGAUUUAUUGGAGAACUUCCCCUAUUACAAUUGCGGCAAUUUGUAACCUCUGUGCUGGGGAUGGUUUAGCAGACAUUAUUGGAAGGCGGUUCGGUAGUCAUAAAAUUCCAUACAACAAAAACAAGUCUGUAGCUGGUAGUGUUGCAAUGGCAUCUGCUGGGUUUUUAGCAUCUCUUGGGUAUAUGCACUAUUUCUCCUCAUUUGGAUUUCUUCAAGAAAGUUCGGGAAUGGUUAUGGGUUUUUUGGUUGUCUCUCUUGCCUCGGCACUGGUGGAAUCACUCCCUAUAAGUACUGAGCUUGAUGACAAUCUCACAGUUCCCUUGACUUCCAUCUUGGUGGGCACUCUUGUUUUCUAAUUUCAGGAGAUGGAGAGUGCAAAAUUGAACAGAGGAAAGAGGCUGGAGUAAUUGAAUCUAGAGGGAUGUUGAUCUAAACUCAAGAAGAAUUAUACUAGCAAACUUGGUCUAUUUAUUAGUUGAUGCGUCAAGUCUCUAUAUCCUCCAAUGAUGUGUUAAAACUCAAGUCUCUAGUCGAUUUCGCGCACUCCCCUUGCACCCCAUUACCUGGCAUGCCACUUGCAACAUAAAAAGGGGGCGUCUUAAUUUCAAGCAGGAGACGAAAUUAU